rnacentral:rRNA from 1 species
AGAGUUUGAUCAUGGCUCAGAUUGAACGCUGGCGGCGUGCCUAACACAUGCAAGUCGAGCGGUAACAGGUGUAGCAAUACAUGCUGACGAGCGGCGAACGGGUGAGUAAUGCUUCGGAAUCUGCCCAAUGGUGGGGAAUAACCAGCCGAAAGGUUGGCUAAUACCGCAUAAAGCCUACGGGGAAAGCAGGGGAUCGCAAG